rnacentral:rRNA from 1 species
AUACGGAGGGUGCGAGCGUUAAUCGGAAUUACUGGGCGUAAAGCGUACGUAGGCGGUUGGUUAAGUUAGAUGUGAAAGCCCCGGGCUUAACCUGGGAACUGCGUUUAAAACUGGCGAACUAGAGUUGAGUAGAGGGGAGUGGAAUUUCAGGUGUAGCGGUGAAAUGCGUAGAGAUCUGAAGGAACACCAGUGGCGAAGGCGACUCCCUGGUCUAUCUCUGACGCUGAGGAGCGAAAGCUAGGGGAGCAAACGGGAUUAGAUACCCCAGUAGUCC